CCUACGGGAGGCAGCAGUGAGGAAUAUUGGUCAAUGGGCGAGAGCCUGAACCAGCCAAGUCGCGUGAGGGAUGACGGUCCUAUGGAUUGUAAACCUCUUUUGUCGGGGAACAAAGGCGUCCACGUGUGCACUGCUGCGUGUACCCGACGAAAAAGCAUCGGCUAACUCCGUGCCAGCAGCCGCGGUAAUACGGAGGAUGCGAGCGUUAUCCGGAUUUAUUGGGUUUAAAGGGUGCGUAGGCGGUCCGUUAAGUCAGCGGUAAAAUUGCGGUGCUCAACGCCGUAGAGCCGUUGAAACUGGCAGGCUUGAGUGGGCGAGAAGUAUGCGGAAUGCGUGGUGUAGCGGUGAAAUGCAUAGAUAUCGCGCAGAACUCCGAUUGCGAAGGCAGCGUACCGGCGCCCGACUGACGCUGAGGCACGAAAGCGUGGGGAUCGAACAGGAUUAGAUACCCGUGUAGUC
rnacentral:rRNA from 1 species